rnacentral:lncRNA from 1 species
CUGCUGUGCUCCGGGAGGACGUCUGGGUCCUGCUGCAGCCUCCCCGGGUGGGUUUGAGACGCGGGCGAUGCCUGCCGAGGUCCGCGUUUUCUGGGUGCACAGAGCCUCCCUGCGCCGUCCCUCUCCUCCCACCCUACAUGGUGGAGCAGGAUUGUGCGUCUGCCUCCUUCAUUUCCGCCAGGACAGAGGAGUCUUAAGGUCUGCUCUGCAGGCAGCGCAGCUCCCCACCUCCUGGCCGCCAGGUUUCUUUGCAGGCGGACACAGUUGCCCCUCUGCAGGCCAUGGGAGAGAGAAGGGCCCGGCCCAGGGAGAGCGAACUUCCAAACGCAAACUGCCGUUUCCCUAUAUUUGCAAAGCUUGCCUCAAAGCAGGCGAACAGCUUACAGGUGUGGCGCCAAAGGCACUUGCGGCUUGGACUCAAGGCCUCCUCUUGGGCACGCGUGCGAGCGCUUGGUAAACGCGGGGGACAGGGGUCUGGUGGCCGUGGCUGUGACUGUCUGUGAGGCUCGGCUUUUUGUGGGGAAUCAGCGGGCUUUUCAAAGGCUGGCUUUGACCUGCAACCGCGGAGAAACAGGCAGUUUCAGGACCGAACUCUGCCGGCUCCUAAGGCCAAACUCUGUCCUUAUCCUGUUACCUGAAAUCCUAUUAUUUGUCGAGCUUUAAUGGCAACUGGAGGGGAUAAACAGCAAGAUGUGUUCACUGUUCUGUUGCUUAUUUGAAUACAUCGCUGAGAACAGAGCUUUGCGACACGGGGGCAAAGGGCGGGUGUGUUUUGAAAUAGGAGAAGGGGGCACAGGUGACCACAAGCCCGAGGGCAGCUCCCUGCAAGAGGAGCAGGAGCCGGGGAAGGAAGGACUGGAUCCUCAGAGCUCGUGGCUAAAGCUGACCGAGGUGCACGGGAAUUUAUGGAAGGCAUUAACGAGUUCAGUGUUCAAUACAGUUUCCACGCUGGGAAAUUCAGGCUGUGGCUUCGGAGGGAUGGGGAUUUCCGUGCGGUUCGUUUUACCCAGGGCCCAAAACUUUCCCUGUCCCCCAGGUGCUCGGGGGACCAGGGACAGCCGACUGCAGCAGCCCUGGGGAAGCUCCGGGAGGGAGGGCCUGGACCAGGUUGGCGUGGGCUGGUCUGAGAGAGCCGGGAAGCUGCACCUGAGUCACAAGCCCCCGCCUCACACAGGGGAGCUGGACAGCACAGUGUGGGAUGAGAAUGGCGGCAAAGCUACGUGGAGAUGUGGGCUAUGA